rnacentral:rRNA from 1 species
AUUGAACGCUGGCGGCAGGCCUAACACAUGCAAGUCGAGCGAGUGGCGGACGGGUGAGUAAUGUAUGGGGAACUGCCUGAUGGAGGGGGAUAACUACUGGAAACGGUGGCUAAUACCGCAUACCAUCGGAUGUACCCAUAUGGGAUUAGCUAGUAGGUGGGGUAAAGGCUCACCUAGGCGACGAUCGCUAGCUGGUCUGAGAGGAUGACCAGCCACACUGGAACUGAGACACGGCCCAGACUCCUACGGGAGGCAGCAGUGGGGAAUAUUGCACAAUGGGCGCAAGCCUGAUGCAGCCAUGCCGCGUGUAUGAAGAAGGCCUUCGGGUUGUAAAGUACUUUCAGCGGGGAGGCGUUACCCGCAGAAGAAGCACCGGCUAACUCCGUGCCAGCAGCCGCGGUAAUUC